UACCCUGAACGGUGGAUCACUUGGCUCGUGGGUCGAUGAAGAACGCAGCUAAUUGCGCGUCAACAUGCGAACUGCAGGACACAUGAACAUCGACAUUUCGAACGCAUCUAGA
rnacentral:rRNA from 1 species